rnacentral:tRNA from 1 species
NAUUAUGAAGCUAUGUUAGCGUUAACCUUUUAAGUUAGAGACUAGGAGCCUUAACUCUCCUCAUAAUGA